rnacentral:rRNA from 1 species
GAUGAACGCUGGCGGCGUGCCUAAUACAUGCAAGUCGAGCGAACAGACGAGGAGCUUGCUCCUCUGACGUUAGCGGCGGACGGGUGAGUAACACGUGGAUAACCUACCUAUAAGACUGGGAUAACUUCGGGAAACCGGAGCUAAUACCGGAUAAUAUAUUGAACCGCAUGGUUCAAUAGUGAAAGACGGUUUUGCUGUCACUUAUAGAUGGAUCCGCGCCGCAUUAGCUAGUUGGUAAGGUAACGGCUUACCAAGGCAACGAUGCGUAGCCGACCUGAGAGGGGGACCGGCAAACCGGGACCGGAGACACGGUCCAGACUCCGAGGGGAGGCAGAAGUAGGGAUUCUUCGGAAAGGGGCGAAAGCCUGACGGAGCAACGCGGCGUGAGUGAUGAAGGUCUUCGGGUCGUAAAACUCGGUUAUUAGGGAAGAACAAAUGGGUAAGUAACUAUGCACGUCUUGACGGUACCUAAUCAGAAAGCCACGGCUAACUACGU